rnacentral:misc_RNA from 1 species
AUCGCAGCGUGCCCCAACUCCCUUCGCACAAGCAGACGGCUAGACGGAAGAGCGGGAGGCACGGUGGGCAUACGUGUAGGCUCUCACACACGGCUGCAUCCCUUGCUUGGGGCAUCACGGGAAUUUCAUCACCUACUGCUGUCCAACCACCCUCCCGCCCUUACAUACGCACGUGCGUGCGCCCUUCUCUCGCCCCCCUUCUCACUAUGAGCACAAAGCGUGGCUGGACAGGCAGAGCAUUCGCACGCUUCUCCUCUACGGAGGGCUCGCGCGGGUCGUGCUGCUGAUUUACGCCGCCUUCCACGACUACUACUUUCGUGUCAAGUACACGGAUAUCGACUACAUGAUUGUGGUUGAUGGCGCCAGAGAACUGCUACACGGCGGAACACCAUUUGAUCGCACGACGUACCGUUACACGCCGCUUCUGGCUGUCCUGGUGAUCCCCGCCGUGCUGGUCGCCAACCCGCUUGGGAAGGUUGUCUUCACGCUGAGCGACCUUGGCGCAGCCUACUAUUGCUUUCACAUGCUCCUGCGCUUUUCGACGGAGCGGAGCGCCAAGUGGAUGGUGGUUAUCUUGAUCCUCUUCAACCCCGUCGUGCUGAACGUGUCGACGCGUGGAAACAGCGACAUGCUCAUCUCGUUCAUGAGUAUGGGCGUGCUGGCGAAGUUUGCGGAGGGUCGCUACUUCACCGCAGCGGCGAUCCUCGGCUUCGCCGUGCACUUUAAAAUCUAUCCCAUCAUCUACGCGCUUCCGCUGGUGCUCGGUGUGUGGGAGCGCGCGAAGCAAGAAUGCUUUUUCGGUCGCCUUGCCCACACCGCCCCCGUCGUGGUCGGAUGCGGCCUCUGCUUCACGGUCGCCUUCGCUGUUCCGACGUAUGUGUGCUACCUGGUCUACGGUCAGCAGUACCUCGACGAGGCCUUCAUCUACCAUAUCCAUCGCGAGGACCACCGGCACAACUUUUCCCCGUACUGGCUGCUCAUGUAUCUCAACAUGGGCCGCCGCGACCUUGGCGUCGGCGUCGACUACUCCGCUGGGCUGUUUGCGUUUCUGCCGCAGUUCGCAGUGCUGUGCUACGCCUCGUGGAAGCUUCGCAAGAACAUUGCCCACGCCUGCUGCGUUGAGACGAUUCUUUUCGUCGCCUUCAACAAAGUCUGCACCGUGCAGUACUUCGUGUGGUUCCUCCCGUUCCUAGCGUUCGUCUUCUGCGAGCCAGCGCAGCCAAAACGGCUGAUGGGUGCCACAAAUGUCUCCAAGUCAGAGCGGCCGUCGAUGCUUUCGGCUGUCGCGGUCAUCCUCAUGUGGAGCCUCACGAUUCCGCUGUGGGUGUGGACAGCAUACCGACUCGAGUUCGAGGGACAGAACCACUACGGCCGCCUGUGGAUCGUGUCGUGCGUCUUCUACCUUGCCACAGUGGGCCUCGCCGCGUGGCUGGGGCGGCUGUGCUAUCGGAGUCGCAUAACCAUCGCCAUUAAGGACCACCGCCCGGCGUUCAAACGGGCGUAAUUCCUCAUCAGCGACACGUGCCUCUGCUGCGUGCUGGUCCCUCUUAUUCUGGGCUGGUGUUUUGAGGCUGAGGAGGGCCAUGCAGAGCACAGCACCGAGCUAGCCCGUAUCCUUGACGUCAUGGUAUUGCUGACUGCAGGCUGCGCAUUAGAAGGCUACAGCGGCACUCCGCUCUUCUUAACCUUUCUCUCGUUUCUCUUUCGUGUUGACUGCGCAUGUUGGUGUCGUGCGCGUGUCGACUUUUUACAUGGGGAAUAGAGCCUAGGAAAGCCGAAAAGAAACCAUAUGGAGAGAGCACCAACAUGCGUGCGAGUCGCAGGUGCCGGGUUCGUUGUGGCACCGUUGUCUCUCUUCGCUCUCUCUCCUGUAUACGCUCGUUUUUCUUUGUGGUUUGCGGCGUUGUGUGAGGCAGACGUACGCAGAUGCUUCGCACGAUACAGGAAUUCUUUUGCAGAAGCGGGUGCCUGCACUCACGUGUGCAGCCGCAGUCCCCUGCCACGCUCUC